AAUGAACGUUGGCGGCGUGGAUUAGGCAUGCAAGUCGUGCGGAAAGGCCCCGCAAGGGGCACUCGAGCGGCGAAAGGGAUAGUAACACGUAGGUACCCACCCCUGGGACGGGGGUAGCUGGGGGAAACUCCAAUUAAUACCCGAUAACGUCCUUGGACCAAAGGUGUGAUUCCGCCUGGGGACGGGCCUGCGUCCUAUCAGCUAGUUGGUGAGGUAACGGCUCACCAAGGCGACGACGGGUAGCGGGUGUGAGAGCACGACCCGCAUCACUGGGACUGAGACACUGCCCAGCCACCUACGGGUGGCUGCAGUCGAGAAUCUUCGUCAAUGGGCGAAAGCCUGAACGAGCGACGCCGCGUGCGGGAUGAAGGCCCUCGGGUUGUAAACCGCAGUCGUCGGGAAGGAAAUGCCAGGGGGAUCACCCCGUGGUUUGACCGACCUGAGGAGGAAGGACGGGCUAAGUUCGUGCCAGCAGCCGCAGUAAAAC
rnacentral:rRNA from 1 species